rnacentral:tRNA from 1 species
GCCUCCGUAGCUCAGCGGCUAGAGCGGUUGCCUUGUAAGCAACAGGUCAAGGGUUCAAAUCCCUUCGGAGGCU